rnacentral:rRNA from 1 species
UACGGAGGGUGCAAACGUUGCUCGGAAUCAUUGGGCGUAAAGCGCACGUAGGCGGUCCGGCAAGUCGGGUGUGAAAGCCCUCGGCUUAACCGAGGAAGUGCAUUCGAAACUACCGGACUUGAGUACUGGAGAGGAUCGCGGAAUUCCCGGUGUAGAGGUGAAAUUCGUAGAUAUCGGGAGGAACACCAGUGGCGAAGGCGGCGAUCUGGACAGAUACUGACGCUGAGGUGCGAAAAGCGUGGGGAGCAAACAGG